ACAAGAUGCACCUGGAUAGCGGGCUCGCAGUCCAGCCUAAACCCGGUUCAGGAGGUCCUAAAGCGGGUUUAAUGUCGGUUGGGAUGGACGUAUCGAUCCUGUGGCAUCGAUUCCAUUAAGCAAAUAUCGAUAUCAACUAUUGAAAUAAGAAACUGGGGGUGCAUGCAUCACUUUGGAUAGCUUACUUCAAUUAUGUGCCCCCGUACCUGGUGACGUAUUGAGCUGGCCCGUGUCACAUGACAAGGAAACUAUAUGAGCAUCAAACGUGCGACUCAGCCGGCCCGGUCUUCAGCUGUCACUAUCACAAAGGCAAUAAAAAGCCCCCCAGAAAUACUACUUCUACUUCUACUAGCUCUGUUAUUACUGUUCUGUUCUGUGCUUUAGUUAAUGUUAAACAUCUCUCUUGUUUCUGCUCUGUAACUUCAGUGAAAGGGUACAGUGGCACAUGUUCACUUCAACAUACAGCUUUUCUUUUUUGAGAAAUAAGUGAGGAAAGUGCAAAUGUGCAUGUUUUUGUUCAUAUUUAUUGUUUUUUAUUAUUAUAUAUAUAUUAUUAUGCAUUGCACAUAAUACAUUUGGGAUAAAUGGCCAGUAUUUGCCAUGUGAUUUGCCUUCAGUAUAAUAAUAUUUAGACUGAAAAAAUCAGUGAUCGGACGCUGUGUUGGUGGAAUAUUAUAGAUUAAACUGAAACCUUCCACAUGAAAGACAGCACGGAGCUGUGCUACUUAAAGAUCAAACAGAGCAGCAGAAACACGUUGUGCAUAUUUGGAAUUGCACCCAGCUGCAUAACAGAACCUGCAGUAGUCAGAACUCUAUUGGUCCUGAACACUCAGACCAUUGUUUAGACUGCUGUUGUAGACUAAACAAACACUCCUCUUAAACAAAAUGCACCUGUGACAGGGUCAGAAAUACUCGGGUGCAUGUUCAUUUGAAUGCUUUUAUCGGGUCAUUUAUGAGAUGCUGUUUUUGUGCAUGAUUGUUUUGGUCUUGUGUUUGAUUUGCAUGCUUUUAUACGUGCUCUUUCUUUUAUUACUUUUAGCAUGAGUUUUAUUUGUUUUACUAUUGACUGUGUCUGUUGAAUUGUCAAGCAAAUAUUCACAAACUGUCACAUCUGCAGGUCAUAUUCCAGCUGUGGAGCCCUGAGGGUCAGUGAGGUCUGAGCCAUGCGUCCAGCUGUGGUCACUGUCGCCCUGCUGGGGGUGGUGUACUAUCUGUUCACCGUGUCAGCCGGACCUUUUUCAAUAAGGAAAAUGUGUCUCAGGCGUCCAGAUAACCCAUGCUCUGAAGGAUGGAGCCGCAUUGAUGAGAAUCGUUGCGCUACAUAUAUCCAGAGCCAGAAAACUUUCCAUGAGGCACAGGAACACUGCAGAACCUUGAACAGUGACCUGGUGUCACUGCACAGUUAUAACGAGCUUUCCGACCUGCUCUGUUUGACCUGGCGUGCCGACCCCUCGUCCCCAAACUAUUUGGAUUGGAGCCCAGAGAUCAGAGUGUUUGUCAGGGAGCGAUUAGGAACACCGACGGAUCUGAAUUCAAGCUGAAUGUUUGGUUCCGUGUUAACAAGUACCGUGGAAAAGACCCUGCAUCAUCUUGAAGGUUGGAGAUGAGCCAUGGUUCAGUGCGGUACGCUGCUCCAAGAAGAAGAACUUUGUCUGUGCCAAGAAUAUGUGAUUAUCUCCAGCUGCUGUUUGCGUCAGUGUGGAUGUAAAGCAUGAAAGCACAGAUGUUUCACCAGCUGUCGAGUUAAUCCAGGAGGGAUGUGAUUGUGUUCUCAGAGAGGAAAGUGGAAGUCAUCUUGCCAGUCAUUUUCAUAUAUAUAAGAGUAUAUAUUAAUAUAGUAUAGAGGAAUAUAUUCUAAAGCUAAUCUGAAACCGUUACUGCUACUGUUGAAUAUAUAUUGAAGGACCAAAGACUGCCAGACAAAACUACUUGAAUAUGACCCCAAACGUUCUGACCUUUAGUCUGAUAUAGUGAAUUCAUCUUCAGCAUCUUCAGCAUGUUUCAUAGCCUCAGAGUGUACCACUGGGUUCAGGAAUAGAUGGGAAACUUGCUACCACCGGAGGAACGAGGCCGGAGGAUCCAAGACUCCCCCGUUCCCAUCCAUUCCAACCAGCAGGAAUAAGGUAGUGAGGCACCAGUGCUUAGAAAUUCAUGAUGCAUUUAUAGUGAAAGAGCUUAGCUAGGACACUAGAGGGCACUUUAUGUCUUGUUUUGCACACUGGAAGGGACAGAUCUGUUUUUAAUGACAGUGUGAGUCAUUUCUUUGACUCCUUUUCUAUCACUGAGUAAACUGUCGACCCCUGACUAAGUGACGUAUUUUAUGGAUCUCAUAUUGUAUCCAAGGAAUAACAAUAAUCGAUAAACAAUGAGCCCAAAUAUUGAACUCAGUGACUGCAGGAAGUUUGUGUAAAACAAGUGAUUUGGAUGAAUUUUGAGCAGAUUAUUUCCUGUGAAUAUUACAUGAGAGAUUUUAGCUCUUUGGUUGUUUUAACUGUUGACUUUUCUAAUGCAGAGACUCUGUGUUUAAUAGAGAGUGGAGGUUAUAUUUGCAGCUUGUGAUCAGCUCAAAGUUUACAUCUUAAAUAAUAAUCUAAAAAAUAAUAGUUUUCCUCACAGAGAAUAAUGAGAUGCUGAGAAAUAGGCCUCUUGUGUUCAUUAUAUAAACAUAAACUAUAGGUUGACUGUGUUUACAGUUGGGAACCACUGACCUAAUGUCUUUAUUUAAUGCUGGAAGUUGGGAAAUCUGUAGGGAUCUGUUUCCUGUUGAGAUGUAACCUGUAAGUCAUUUCAACCCGUUUCACACAGGAAGUUGUGCCCAAUAUGAAAUGUUACAUUGGUAUUCAUCAGUGACUGUGAAGUUGUUCGGGUUACUGCAGUUGGUUGGUUUUACUUGAGGAAAGUGUUUGAAUUCUGAGUCCAACACUAAACUGAUGAACAGUUGGUGGAUAGUAGUCAGUUACUCCGUUAAUUUAAGUCUGCUGACGUCUCUAUAACACUUGAAUCUUUGUAUUAUGGUAUUUAUAAGCUGACAUAAAGUUGACCAAAGACGCCUCAGUGCCUUUUCCAACAUACUGACACACACACACACACACACAC